rnacentral:rRNA from 1 species
CCUACGGGCGGCAGCAGUGAGGAAUAUUGGUCAAUGGUCGGGAGACUGAACCAGCCAAGCCGCGUGAGGGAGGAAGGUACAGAGUAUCGUAAACCUCUUUUGUCAGGGAACAAAGGCGGGGACGUGUCCCCGGAUGAGUGUACCUGAAGAAAAAGCAUCGGCUAACUCCGUGCCAGCAGCCGCGGUAAUACGGAGGAUGCGAGCGUUAUCCGGAUUUAUUGGGUUUAAAGGGUGCGCAGGCGGUCUGUUAAGUCAGCGGGCAAAGCCCGGGGCUCAACCCCGGCCCGCCGUUGAAACUGGCAGUCUCGAGUUGGAGAGAAGUAUGCGGAAUGCGCGGUGUAGCGGUGAAAUGCAUAGAUAUCGCGCAGAACUCCGAUUGCGAAGGCAGCAUGACGGCUCCACACUGACGCUGAGGCACGAAAGCGUGGGUAUCGAACAGGAUUAGAUACCCGUGUAGUC